rnacentral:rRNA from 1 species
UACGUAGGGUCCGAGCGUUGUCCGGAAUUACUGGGCGUAAAGAGCUCGUAGGUGGUUUGUCGCGUUGUUCGUGAAAACUCACAGCUUAACUGUGGGCGUGCGGGCGAUACGGGCAGACUUGAGUACUGCAGGGGAGACUGGAAUUCCUGGUGUAGCGGUGGAAUGCGCAGAUAUCAGGAGGAACACCGGUGGCGAAGGUGGGUCUCUGGGCAGUAACUGACGCUGAGGAGCGAAAGCGUGGGGAGCGAACAGG